ACAGAAGAAACGACUGGCGCGCUGUUGUUAACACGGCUAUAAUCGCGUAAGCGGUAUCUACACCAGCAAAGAAGAUAUCAUAGUACAAAAGUGGGCGAAAUCGGAACUAGGCGGGGUACUUCCCAUAGAGCAUAAUUUUCAAUUCUAUUUGAAUAUUUUACUUUCCAAUACAUAAAUCAAAAAGCAACUAAUAUAAUGGAAUACAUUUUUAUGACCAAUAUCGCCCGAAUCCAUCCAACACUGUUUUAGCCCCUAGCUACCAAAUAUGUGAAUAUACUUUUGACAGAAAUUGUCGGUCAAUUUGUCAGAUAUACAACUGAAAUUCAGAGCGUACCAUUUCCGGAUAAUAGUAAUUCUGUCUCUCGAGAAUGGGUUGAAUCAGGUCAAUACUUCCCUGAGCCCACAAUUACUUAAUUUCGAGGUUUCAGGACGCGUGAUCGAAGACAAAUGUUUAAUCACUAAUGGCGGCCAACGGGUGACACGUUUGCAGUGCAAAGCGGUGUUAGGGCGAUUGCCACGCCCCUGCUAGGACUAUGUAAGCGAUUAAUGCCUCUAAUAAAUUUGCUUCUCUCUAUAUACUUGAAUUAGUUAGGCCGCGUGAUCGAAGACAAAUGUUUAGGCACUAAUGACGGCCAAUGCAAAGCGGUUUUCGCGCGAUUGCCCUAGGGUGACACGUUUGCAACGCCAUGCCCCUUAGAGGGCCACUGCCACGCUCCUGGGAAGUGCUGCGUUAUCCAAGUCACCCGUUGAGACAAUAAUGGAGGCCAAAGGAUGACAAGUUUGCAGUGCAAAACUGUUUUUGAGCGAUUGUCGCGCCCCUAGUAAUACUAUAUAUUCUGAAAAAAUAUAAAGUAACGGAAAUAUAAUCCAGAAAUUUGCCAUUUUAUUUCAGACCCAAAUUAAAUACUAUUUCUAUUUUUGAAUAUAAUAUAUAAUGCUAAGAUAGCGCUGAAAAUAAUAUCCGUAACUGAAAGUGCUAAAUUUUAAACGAAGCGGCUUGAUAGAGAACUUGAAAUGGAUGUUGAAUUCAGCUCUAGCUGUGAUCUGUUCGAUUGAUACAUUCGCGGUUUAUCCUCCAAGUUUUCCGACAUAGAAAAAUCAGUAAUUGGAAAAAGAAGGAAACAGCGGGAAACGCAACGAUACUCAUUGCAGCUGUGUGCAAAUUACAAUUUAUAAUUGGGAGUUUUUACCCAUGUGAUAUUUUAUCUCUAACUUAUUCACUCAGCGUGAUUCUUCAGAAAGAAUCGGUCGAUCUGUCAAAGGCAGCAGAUAUGUAACGUUUCGAAAUCGAAGACAAAAAGCUGAGGAACAUUCCGAGCCAUCCACAAAAAAAUGGCGGCAGACCAAAAAGUUGACAAAGAAAAACCGAGAAUCUGCGGUCGACAAAACGCGGAAAUUUCUGCGUGAGAACUGGCGAAGAAUACUAAAGGGUCUCAGUGUACAUUCCUCUGUUGAAUAAAAUCGACGAAGAUUUGAAGACGCGCUUUAUAAGAGAACUAUUGGAUGGAUGUGCUUUGAAAACGAAAGAAAUGGAAAAUCUUAUUGACUGCUUGAUAGAUAGAUUCAUAGGCCCUUUGGAUAAUGACAACGUCGUGCGGCGUUUAAAGUUUAUAAGUGAACUUGAUCACUGGUAGUGCCAUUUUGCGCAGAAGAAAAAGUCAAAAGACAAGAAGUUACCGACUACUGCAUUGGAAACGCUGAAGGACUGCGAUGUAGAAUUACGGUAUAUCCCACAAUUCAUAGCUUUCUUCGCAUAUUCUGCACACUUCCUGUGAUCGUACUAUUUUCUCAAAGGGUGUUAAUAUAAUAUUUUUGAAAUGUUUGCUACAUGAUAUAAAAAUAAAGUGCCAUGAUACACGUA
rnacentral:lncRNA from 1 species